rnacentral:rRNA from 1 species
UACGGGGGGGAGCAAGCGUUGUUCGGAUUUACUGGGCGUAAAGGGCGCGUAGGCGGUCAGCACAAGUCAGUUGUGAAAUCUCCGAGCUUAACUCGGAAAGGUCAACUGAUACUGUGCGACUAGAGUGGCAGAAGGGGCAACUGGAAUUCUCGGUGUAGCGGUGAAAUGCGUAGAUAUCGGAAGGAACAUCAGUGGCGAAAGCGGCUUCCUGGACCAGUACCGACGUCAGGCACGAAAGCGUGGGGAGCAAACAGG